CUUUCCUUAACCUGCAAAGGCAGAGCACAUGCUUACCCAGACCCUGAUACGAUCCUGGACCAGGCAGAAGCAGCGUCCUUCUCCUGGAGGAGCUUGGAGCAGCAGCAGGAGGCAGGCAUUACACCCCGAUAAGCAUGCAGAGUUCUGAAGAGGAAGCUCGCAGCCUCACUCACUCCAGGCUUUUCCUCUGGACCUGAGCUCUGAUACCCACUGCAUUGUCAGAAUCAGAGCAAAUCUGGAGGCCAGAGAGCAAGACCAGCAAAGCCAGGAUCUCUGGGGUAAUUAGGCCCGCCUUGCCCACAGGUGCUCCACAGGUGGUCUCAGCUCCCAGCAAUGACCCAGGAGAAGCCCACGGGAACCCUCAGCUGCAACCAAUCCUCCAGACUGCUGGCCUGCCUGCCUUCCUGAAAUAGUCCAGAUUUCACUUAUUAAACAUAUUAAUCUGAAGUUAACAAUUUGUGCUUGUUUCACUAAAUGGCUUGAAGAGAAGAAUGCAAGGAAGAAGAAUUUGAUUUGAUGGGAAGGCUUAACCCCGAUGGACUAAGCGGCCUUCAUAUUCUGACUUUAAAAUAACUGGAAAUGGAGGGACUAUUCACAGAAGUGGAGAGUCAAAGGGUAAACCUAACUGGAGUUAAAGAAACACAAACAAAACCCAUCCCCUUCUUGGCCCCAACCUGCCAUGUGACUCUAAGGACAUUGCUUACUGCAGUGACAGCAUUUUAAACAGCUGCCCAGAGGGGUUUUAAAUAGACUUGAUGUAAUUCAAUGAUUUAUAGAGCAUGGGUUACCAAAAUAUUAAAGUUCUGAAAUAUCCCUAAACCAAGACCAUGGCCCUGCCAUUACCCACUCUGAACCGAAUCAUUCUCUGCUGUUGGAGUGUGGUGCAUGUGGCUUCUUCAGAAAACUGCGGCUGCUCUAAAUGAAUGGCCAGAAAAAGAUAAAUAGCCUCUGAUGCAUAGAUGUGACCUUCCAUAUGAAAACACACUCUCCCGGUCUUCGGCAACUCAGUCCGUGGAAAGCACCAAUCUUCAGAAAACAAGCCAGACAGUUAUUUUUUAAUUGCUUAUCAAAUCUAAGUAUUCAAGGAAAUUGCAGUGGGG
rnacentral:lncRNA from 1 species